UGCACUUAUGACUCUAAGUUGCUUUGGAUAAAAGCAUCUGCUAAAUGUCAUAUA
rfam:Salmo salar isolate Sally breed double haploid chromosome ssa06, whole genome shotgun sequence.